rnacentral:lncRNA from 1 species
GAGGGAGGCCAGAAGUCCAACUGUUAAAAAACUUUUACCCUUUACCUGGCAUGUCAGGCUUUUGGAUUCCUUUCCCCUGAGCUCAAUUUUAAGCCCAGCAGUUUAAGGUUGGGGAAGUUAACUUUUCCAAUUUGGGGGAUACAUCUAAUGGGAUUGUCCUGUGGUACAGGAACACAAAUACCCAUCGGUGAAGAGAGGACAGAGGAGGAAAAAGGAGAAAGAAGGUUUUUUUGUUUGUUUGUUUUAUUUUCAAAGGAAUCCCAGUGAUUCAAGAUGCAUUGGAGAGAAAUACAGACUGAAGAUAAUUGGUUACCCAUCUAGAAAGAGAUAUAUGAAGUCUGGGGGUAAGACCUGCAGUAAUUUCCCUUAAGGGGUGAGAUGAAGACAGGUGUUGAAAUGGGAAUUGUGUGCCUAAAGAAGAGGAAGGAGACUGGUGAUACACAAGGGAAUUUUGUGUGAGCAUAUUCCAUUGUUUAAAAGCAUCUGUGAAAGAAGCAUUCAUUUUUUUCAAGGAUAAUUUUUCAAUACAACACCUGGUCAAAAACUAAAUUGGACUCUGAGACUGCAGCAUGACUUCCUUUUACAUCACAUAGCAUUUCGAUGAAAAUGCAUAAGAAUGCUUCCAUUUGCAGGAG